GACGAACGCUGGCGGCGUGCUUAACACAUGCAAGUCGAGCGGUAAGGCUCCUUCGGGAGUACACGAGCGGCGAACGGGUGAGUAACACGUGAGCAAUCUGCCCUUCACACAGGGAUAACUCCGGGAAACCGAAGCUAAUACCUGAUAUGACCACUUCAGGCAUCUGAUGGUGGUGGAAAGUUCCGGCGGUGAAGGAUGAGCUCGCGGCCUAUCAGCUUGUUGGGGGGGUAACGGCCCACCAAGGUAACGACGGGUAGCCGGCCUGAGAGGGUGACCGGCCACACUGGGACUGAGACACGGCCCAGACUCCUACGGGAGGCAGCAGUGGGGAAUAUUGGACAAUGGGCGAAAGCCUGAUCCAGCAACGCCGCGUGAGGGAUGACGGCCUUCGGGUUGUAAACCUCUUUCAGCAGGGACGAAGCGCAAGUGACGGUACCUGCAGAAGAAGCACCGGCCAACUACGUGCCAGCAGCCGCAGUAAUAC
rnacentral:rRNA from 1 species